rnacentral:rRNA from 1 species
UACGUAGGCACCAAGCGUUGUCCGAAUUUAUUGGGCGUAAAGAGCUCGUAGGCGGUUCGGUAAGUCGGGUGUGAAAACUCUGGGCUCAACCCAGAGAGGCCACCCGAUACUGCCGUGACUGGAGUGCGGUAGGGGAGUGGGGAAUUCCUGGUGUAGCGGUGAAAUGCGCAGAUAUCAGGAGGAACACCAGUGGCGAAGGCGGCUCACUGGCCCGGUACUGACGCUCAUGUGCGAAAGCGUGGGGAGCAAACAGG